AUGGCUCAGAUUGAACGCUGGCGGCAGGCCUAACACAUGCAAGUCGAGCGGAUGAAGAGAGCUUGCUCUCUGAUUCAGCGGCGGACGGGUGAGUAAUGCCUAGGAAUCUGCCUGGUAGUGGGGGACAACGUCUCGAAAGGGACGCUAAUACCGCAUACGUCCUACGGGAGAAAGCAGGGGACCUUCGGGCCUUGCGCUAUCAGAUGAGCCUAGGUCGGAUUAGCUAGUUGGUGAGGUAAUGGCUCACCAAGGCGACGAUCCGUAACUGGUCUGAGAGGAUGAUCAGUCACACUGGAACUGAGACACGGUCCAGACUCCUACGGGAGGCAGCAGUGGGGAAUAUUGGACAAUGGGCGAAAGCCUGAUCCAGCCAUGCCGCGUGUGUGAAGAAGGUCUUCGGAUUGUAAAGCACUUUAAGUUGGGAGGAAGGGUUGUAGAUUAAUACUCUGCAAUUUUGACGUUACCGACAGAAUAAGCACCGGCUAACUCUGUGCCAGCAGCCGCGGUAAUACAGAGGGUGCAAGCGUUAAUCGGAAUUACUGGGCGUAAAGCGCGCGUAGGUGGUUUGUUAAGUUGGAUGUGAAAGCCCCGGGCUCAACCUGGGAACUGCAUUCAAAACUGACAAGCUAGAGUAUGGUAGAGGGUGGUGGAAUUUCCUGUGUAGCGGUGAAAUGCGUAGAUAUAGGAAGGAACACCAGUGGCGAAGGCGACCACCUGGACUGAUACUGACACUGAGGU
rnacentral:rRNA from 1 species